UUCCAUGAAAGAGUUUUUGGAU
rnacentral:miRNA from 1 species